rnacentral:rRNA from 1 species
GGGCUGCAGUAUUUUGACUGUACAAAGGUAGCAUAAUCAAUAGUCUUUUAAUUGGUGACUUGUAUGAAAGAUUGGAUGAAAUAUAUACUGUCUCUAAAUAAUUUUUAGAAAUUAAUUUUUUAGUUAAAAAGCUAAAAUAAUUUUAAAAGACGAGAAGACCCUAUAGAGUUUAAUAAUUUAUUUAAUUAUUAUUAUUAUAUAAUUUUUAAAAUUAAAAUUAAAUAAAUUAUUUUGUUGGGGUGAUAAAAAAAUUAAAUUAACUUUUUUUAGUUUUUUACAUUGAUUUAUGAUUAUAUGAUCCAUUAAUAGUGAUAAAAAGAAAAAAUUACCUUAGGGAUAACAGCGUAAUUUUUUUUUUUAGUUCAUAUAAAAAAAAAAGUUUGCGACCUCGAUGUUGGAUUAA